rnacentral:rRNA from 1 species
AUGAACGCUGGCGGCGUGCCUAACACAUGCAAGUCGAACGGAGAUUACGGACGGAAGUUUUCGGAUGGAAGCCUGUAAUUCUUAGUGGCGGACGGGUGAGUAACGCGUGGGCAACCUGCCCUAUACAGGGGGAUAGCAGCUGGAAACGGCUGGUAAGACCGCAUAAGUCGGUUAAAUCGCAUGAUUUGAUCGGGAAAUGAGCAAUCAGGUAUAGGAUGGGCCCGCGUCCGAUUAGCCAGUUGGCAGGGUAAAAGCCUACCAAAGCGACGAUCGGUAGCCGGACUGAGAGGUCGGACGGCCACAUUGGGACUGAGACACGGCCCAAACUCCUACGGGAGGCAGCAGUGGGGGAUAUUGCACAAUGGAGGAAACUCUGAUGCAGCGACGCCGCGUGAGUGAAGAAGUAUUUCGGUAUGUAAAGCUCUAUCAGCAGGGAAGAUGAUGACGGUACCUGACUAAGAAGCCCCGGCUAACUACGUG